UCCGGUUGUGUCUCCUAAGAAUCGCUCAUUGUUUCAUGGGGACAACUGGCUCCUUUGGGUGGGAUCUGAUGGCAUCUCACGGAGCUGGAGAUCUGGCACUGUGUGACUUCUGGCCCUGCUCCAAAGUCAGAGUGACCACGGAAGGUGAAUAUUCUGGGUCAACUCAGGACGUAUGCGCAGCUGUGACAACACAAUUACAGACAUGAAACAGAUUCCAGACCUGCUUCAGAAAAUGGCAGGUGCGUCUGAAGCGAGGGGAAGGCCUUGGAGGAGGAUCGAUGGUACAUGAAAAGUUCCCUUCCUUGGACUGCUAUCCCAUCUGUCCACAAGUUCUCUGAAAAUUUUCCAUAAGAAGUCCCAAUUUGGACAGAUAAUUUGUGAAGGAGUGCAUAAAUUCAAGGAAGAACAGAAACUGUCCAUGUUAACAGCUUCUGAUGCAAUCAAUGGGAUGGUUUACAUUCCCUAUCCCAUUGAUUACAUCAGAAUCUGUCAACAUGGACUGUCAUCUUCCUCCUGGAAGGUGUUGUCUGGAAUGCUCUGCUCUAUUUGUUCAUGGCUUCCACCUGCUGGUCCUGUUUGAAGGUCACCUUGGAAUGAUCUUUUUGACCAACUAAUCUAAUUGUGUGUUUGCUGAUAUAAUUGUCCAUGCAGCGCUUAACACUGUCUGCUCCUUCUGGCUUCAGUUCACUUAGUGGCCAUCUCCUUGAACUUGCAGAGCAAGAACUUGGUUUCAUUUCUGCUGUAAUCCAGCCUCUAGGAUGGUGUGUGGUAGGUAUAAUGAUUUGAGCUGUGUCUCUCGAAAAGCUGUUGAUGUCCUAACCCUUAAUAUCUCAGAAUGGCCUUCUUUGGAAGAGCCUUUACAGAUAGAUUUAGUAAAGAUGUGGUCAUAAGGGAGAUGCGCUUAUAAGCUCCAAAGAUAUGCUUAUAAGAAAAGGAGAGAGAAGCACACCAAAAGAGCACUCUAUGAAACACAGCCGCCUGGAGAAGCUGGCCAUGUAACAGGAGGUAGACAUUGGAGUCUUGUUACCACAUCCAGGGCAUGCCUGUGGCCAUAAGAAGUGUGAAGAGACAGAAAAAGAUCCUUUUCUUGCAGGUUCCACAGAACACUGUCACCACUCCCAUUCUUCAAAUUCUGAUGACUGACAUUCCGUCCUUGGACCAGCAACCAAAUAUUGGCCUUAAAAAUGAAACUAAAGAAAAAAAAUUUCUGUAAAAGCAAAAAUGAACAUAAACAAACAAAAAAAACCAACCCCCCCCCCAGUAAACAGGCUACCAUUCUGUUGUAUUUAGUUACAUCGUCUUAAAAUA